CCUACGGGAGGCAGCAGUGAGGAAUAUUGGUCAAUGGGCGGAAGCCUGAACCAGCCAAGUAGCGUGCAGGAUGACGGCCCUACGGGUUGUAAACUGCUUUUAUACGGGAAUAACGCGCCUUACGUUUAGGGCUUUGCAUGUACCGUAUGAAUAAGGACCGGCGAAUUCCUUGCCAGCAGCCGCGGUAAUACGGAAGGUCCGAGCGUUAUCCGGAUUGAGUGGGUUUAAAGGGAGCGUAGGUGGAUUGUUAAGUCAGUGUGGAAAGUUUGCGGCUCAACCGUAAAAUUGCAGUGGAAACUGGCAGUCUUGAGUACAGUAGAGGUGGGCGGAAUUCGUGGUGUAGCGGUGAAAUGCUUAGAUAUCACGAAGAACUCCGAUUGCGAAGGCAGCUCACUGGACUGCAACUGACACUGAGGCUCGAAAGUGUGGGUAUCAAACAGGAUUAGAUACCCGUGUAGUC
rnacentral:rRNA from 1 species